AUACGUAGGUGGCAAGCGUUGUCCGGAAUUAUUGGGCGUAAAGCGCGCGCAGGUGGUUCCUUAAGUCUGAUGUGAAAGCCCCCGGCUCAACCGGGGAGGGUCAUUGGAAACUGGGGAACUUGAGUGCAGAAGAGGAUAGUGGAAUUCCAAGUGUAGCGGUGAAAUGCGUAGAGAUUUGGAGGAACACCAGUGGCGAAGGCGACUGUCUGGUCUGUAACUGACACUGAGGCGCGUAAGCGUGGGGAGCAAACAGGAUUAGAUACCCUGGUAGUCCACGCCGUAAACGAUGAGUGCUAAGUGUUGGGGGGUUUCCGCCCCUCAGUGCUGCAGCUAACGCAUUAAGCACUCCGCCUGGGGAGUACGGUCGCAAGACUGAAACUCAAAGGAAUUGACGGGG
rnacentral:rRNA from 1 species